ACGAACGCUGGCGGCACGCUUAACACAUGCAAGUCGAACGAGAGAAGAGAAGCUUGCUUUUCUGAUCUAGUGGCGGACGGGUGAGUAACACGUGAGCAAUCUGCCUUUCAGAGGGGGAUACCGAUUGGAAACGAUCGUUAAUACCGCAUAAUAUAAUUGAACCGCAUGAUUUGAUUAUCAAAGAUUUAUCGCUGAAAGAUGAGCUCGCGUCUGAUUAGCUAGUUGGUAAGGUAACGGCUUACCAAGGCGACGAUCAGUAGCCGGACUGAGAGGUUGAUCGGCCACAUUGGGACUGAGACACGGCCCAGACUCCUACGGGAGGCAGCAGUGGGGAAUAUUGCACAAUGGAGGAAACUCUGAUGCAGCGAUGCCGCGUGAGGGAAGAAGGUUUUAGGAUUGUAAACCUCUGUCUUCAGGGACGAAAAAAGACGGUACCUGAGGAGGAAGCUCCGGCUAACUACGUGCCAGCAGCCGCGGUAAUACGUAGGGAGCGAGCGUUGUCCGGAAUUACUGGGUGUAAAGGGAGCGUAGGCGGGAUCGCAAGUCAGAUGUGAAAACUAUGGGCUUAACCCAUAAACUGCAUUUGAAACUGUGGUUCUUGAGUGAAGUAGAGGUAAGCGGAAUUCCUAGUGUAGCGGUGAAAUGCGUAGAUAUUAGGAGGAACAUCAGUGGCGAAGGCGGCUUACUGGGCUUUAACUGGCGCUGAGGCUCGAAAGCGUGGGGAGCAAACAGGAUUAGAUACCCUGGUAGUCCACGCCGUAAACGAUGAUUACUAGGUGUGGGGGGACUGACCCCUUCCGUGCCGCAGCAAACGCAAUAAGUAAUCCACCUGGGGAGUACGACCGCAAGGUUGAAACCCAAAGGAAUUGACGGGGGCCCGCACAAGCAGUGGAGUAUGUGGAUUAAUUCGAAGCAACGCGAAGAACCUUACCAGGUCUUGACAUCGUAUGCAUAGCUCAGAGAUGAGUGAAAUCUCUUCGGAGACAUAUAGACAGGUGGUGCAUGGUUGUCGUCAGCUCGUGUCGUGAGAUGUUGGGUUAAGUCCCGCAACGAGCGCAACCCUUACUGUUAGUUGCUACGCAAGAGCACUCUAGCAGGACUGCCGUUGACAAAACGGAGGAAGGUGGGGAUGACGUCAAAUCAUCAUGCCCCUUAUGACCUGGGCCUCACACGUACUACAAUGGCUGUUAACAGAGGGAUGCAAAGCCGCGAGGUGGAGCGAACCCCUAAAAGCAGUCUUAGUUCGGAUUGUAGGCUGCAACCCGCCUACAUGAAGUCGGAAUUGCUAGUAAUCGCAGAUCAGCAUGCUGCGGUGGAUACGUUCCCGGGCCUUGUACACACCGCCCGUCACGCCAUGGGAGUCGGUAACACCCGAAGCCUGUAGUCUAACCGCAAGGAGGACGCAGUCGAAGGUGGGAUUGAUGACUGGGGUG
rnacentral:rRNA from 1 species